rnacentral:rRNA from 1 species
UACGAAGGGUGCAAGCGUUACUCGGAAUUACUGGGCGUAAAGCGUGCGUAGGUGGUUCGUUAAGUCUGAUGUGAAAUCCCGGGGCUCAACCCCGGAACUGCAUUGGAUACUGCCUUGCUAGAGUACUGGAGAGGAGACUGGAAUUUACGGUGUAGCAGUGAAAUGCGUAGAGAUCGUAAGGAAGGCCAGUGGCGAAGGCGAGUCUCUGGACAGUAACUGACGCUGAGGCACGAAGGCCAGGGGAGCAAACGGG